rnacentral:lncRNA from 1 species
UGCUUUCAUUCAAAUUUUUCUUUCUCCCUCAUAUUUUCCGCCGAUGCAUUUCCAGCAAACUUCUCACCUUUUCUUUCCGUGGCACUAAGAAAUGGCACAGACAACCAUAUUAUGUUAAUUUCGAGAACUGACACUAGUAGUCAGUAUUGGGGGUGGUAGUCAGUAUUGGGGGAAAGAAUUGACACAUGUAGUCAUAUUCUGGAAAUUUCGAGAACUGACAAUGGUAGUCAGUAUUGGGGGAAAGAAUGGGCACAAGUAGCCAUAUUCUGGAAAUUUCGAGAACUGACACUAGUAGUCAGUAUUGGGGGAAAUAAUUGGCACAAGUAGCCAUAUUGUUGGCAUUUCGAGAACUGACACUAAUAGUCAAUAUUGUGGGAAGAGAAUUGGCACGGGUAACCAUAUUGUGGGUAAUUUCGAGAAUUAGCACUGAUGGCCAUAUUGUGAUGGGUGCAUUCGAGAUCGGUUCUUACAAUGCAAUAAGAAUUCGAUAACAAAGAUCUGAUCUGUUUUAUCCUGGAGACGGCG